GUCAAAGUUGGUAGAAAAUGGUUGUAAUUGGUCAAAGUUGGUAGAAAAUGGUUGUAAUUGGUCAAAGUUGGUAGAAAAUGGUUGUAAUUGGUUAAAGUUGGUGCUUUUGGUCAAAGUUGGUAGAAAAUGGUUGUAAUUGGUCAAAGUUGGUAGAAAAUGGUUGUAAUUGGCCAAAGUUGGUGCUUUUGGUCAAAGUUGGUAGAAAAUGGUUGUAAUUGGUUAAAGUUGGUGCUUUUGGUCAAAGUUGGUAGAAAAUGGUUGUAAUUGUUAAAAGUUGGUAGAAAAUGGUUGUAAUUGGCCAAAGUUGGUGUUUUUGUUCAAAGUUGGUAGAAAAUGGUUUUAAUUGGUCAAAGUUGGUGUUUUUGGUCAAAGUUGGUAGAAAAUGCUUGUAAUUGGCCAAAGUUGGUGUUUUUGGUCAAAGUUGGUAGAAAAUGGUUGUAAUUGGCCAAAGUUGGUGUUUUUGGUGAAAGUUGGUAGAAAAUGGUUGUUAUUGGUUAAAGUUGGUAGAAAAUGGUUGUAAUUGGCCAAAGUUGGUGUUUUUGGUCAAAGUUGGUAGAAAAUGGUUGUAAUUGGCCAAAGUUGGUGCUUUUGGUCAAAGUUGGUAGAAAAUGGUUGUAAUUGGCCAAAGUUGGUAGAAAAUGGUUGUAAUUGAUUAAAGUUGGUGUUUUUGGUUAAAGUUGGUAGAAAAUGGUUGUAAUUGGCCAAAGUUUUUGUUUUUGGUCAAAGUUGGUAGAAAAUGGUUGUAAUUGGUUAAAGUUGGUAGAAAAUGGUUGUAAUUGGCCAAAGUUGGUGUUUUUGGUCAAAUUUGGUAGAAAAUGGUUGUAAUUGGUUAAAGUUGGUAGAAAAUGGUUGUAAUUGGCCAAAGUUGGUGCUUUUGGUCAAAGUUGGUAGAAAAUGGUAGUAAUUGGUCAAAGUUGGUAGAAAAUGGUUGUAAUUGGCCAAAGUUGGUGCUUUUGGUCAAAGUUGGUAGAAAAUGGUUGUAAUUGGCCAAAGUUGGUAGAAAAUGGUUGU